rnacentral:rRNA from 1 species
AAGGAAUAUUGGACAAUGCCCGCAAGGGUGAUCCAGCCAUGCCGCGUGCAGGAAGACGGACCUAUGGUUUGUAAACUGCUUUUGAACAAGAGAAAACCCCCUUACGUGUAAGGGGCUGAUAGUAUUGUUAGAAUAAGCAUCGGCUAACUUCGUGCCAGCAGCCGCGGUAAGACGAAGGAUGCAAGCGUUAUCCGGAUUCAUUGGGUUUAAAGGGAGCGUAGGCGGCUUGAUAAGUCAGUGGUGAAAUCUUCUCGCUUAACGAGAAAACUGCCAUUGAUACUGUCAAGCUUGAGUACAGUUGCCGUUGGCGGAAUAUGACAUGUAGUGGUGAAAUACAUAGAGAUGUCAUAGAACACCGAUUGCGAAGGCAGCUAACGAAACUGUAACUGACGCUGAGGCUCGAAAGUGCGGGGAUCAAAC